rnacentral:rRNA from 1 species
UCUCCUACGGGGGGCAGCAGUGGGGAAUUUUGGACAAUGGGGGCAACCCUGAUCCAGCCAUGCCGCGUGAGUGAAGAAGGCCUUCGGGUUGUAAAGCUCUUUCGGCCGGGAAGAAAUCGUAUGGGUUAAUACCCUGUGCGGAUGACGGUACCGGCAUAAGAAGCACCGGCUAACUACGUGCCAGCAGCCGCGGUAAUACGUAGGGUGCGAGCGUUAAUCGGAAUUACUGGGCGUAAAGCGUGCGCAGGCGGUUUUGUAAGACAGGCGUGAAAUCCCCGGGCUCAACCUGGGAACUGCGCUUGUGACUGCAAGGCUAGAGUAUGGCAGAGGGGGGUGGAAUUCCACGUGUAGCAGUGAAAUGCGUAGAGAUGUGGAGGAACACCAAUGGCGAAGGCAGCCCCCUGGGCCAAUACUGACGCUCAUGCACGAAAGCGUGGGUAGCAAACAGGAUUAGAUACCCUGGUAGUCCC